CCAAAGGGGGAGUUAUUUUUUGGGAGUUAUUUUAACUCCUUAAAUGGUAUUAAAGUAACUCCUUAGGGGAGUAAACCUUAAGUUUACUCUCAUUUCACUCCAAACUUAUACAAGGUUAUAAUGUUGGAGUAAUUUUUACUCCAGUAUUUGGGUUGUUGGAGUUAAUUUAACUUCAUGUUUAGAGUAAAACAAGCAGAGUUAAAAUAACCCAUCCACAGAGAGUCAAAUUGAUCCUAUCGCAUGAAUUAUAGCAGAGUUAAAUUAACCCAUCCACAGAGAGCAAAGUUGAUCCUAUCGCAAUGCAUAAUGGCAGAGUUAAAAUAACCCAUCUAUCAGAGAGUUAAAUUGAUCCUAUCACAAAGCAUUAUGGGAGAGCCCGCGUUAUUCGAAGAAAAAAGUUUAGUUUCACCAUUUUCUGUGUCUCGAUGUUGAAAGAAAAUGAAGAGUUUAAUUGAUUUUUUUCGUUUUUUAUUGGAAUGUGUUUGAAGAGUUCUUGGCAGUCAGCCAUCAAAAAUCAUUUCAAGAAUAUCAUGAAAACUGAACGAGUUGCUGCUAGAAAUGGAACUGGAGGUGCAGCAGUGGUAAAACCAGAGAUAAAAAAGAAAAUGUAAGGUAGUAGAAACAGAGGAUGACAAAGGUCAAAGUUGAUUUACCAAAAUUAUGCGUUAAUCAGCAACCUAUGGUUUCCAGCGGAGAAAUAUCUUUGAAAAUCCUUUUUCAUUAAUUAAACAUCAUGGAGGGAUAUCCCGCACUCCAGUUGGUGUCAGAGAGUUCUUGGCAGUCAGCCAUCAAAAAUCAUUUCAAGAAUAUCAUGAAAACUGAACGAGUUGCUGCUGGAAAUGGAGCUGGAGGUGCAGCAGUGGUAAAACCAGAGAUAAAAAGAAAAGAAAAUGUUAGGUAGUAGAAAUAGAGGAUGACAAAUGUCAAAGUUGAUUUACCAAAAUUAUGCAUUAAUCAGCAACCUACAGUAUGGUUUCCAGCGGAGAAAUAUCUUUGAAAAUCCUGUUUGCAUUAAUUAAACAUCAUGGAGGGAUAUCCCGCACUCCAGUUGGUGUCAGAGGAGAAUGAAUCCAUUGACGAAAUUAUCCAGAAGUUGAUUUUUCCACGGCUGAGGCCAGGCAACCUCAAAGAAGUCAUCCCACUCUACUUCGCUGCCGAGGGGAGGAGAAUAAUAAUAAUAAUAAUUAAUAAUAAUAAUAUGCAAGUUUUUAUUUAGCGCUCUAUACAAGUAAGUCUCAGAGCGCUGAGAAGAAUUGCGAAGGCCACUGGCUCUAGCCCUUCUACUGGGCACCUUCUAUGUUUUUAACAUUCAGUAUCAUAAUAAAGCAAAGAAAUAUAUCUUCCUAGAAUCCAAGAUGUUUGAAAAGAUGAAGGAAGCCAACAAACAUGUCAUUACACUGUUUGUAACUUUCUAGUUGGAAAAUAAGAGUCAUUCAUUUUGAAGGGGUACUUCUCUCGCUAAUUGCCAUUAUAGGCAUGGUUUAUACGUGUAAAGAUAAAAGAAUAAUGUAUUUUGUGAACAAAAAUAAAGGAAUGAUUAUUUAUA